UGCACGUAUCUAAUAGCCUAGUUUCAUCCUAUUACAUCCGUGGCAUGUUUUCGAAUAAGCUGUAGGGUCAUUAGGCAAUCUGAUACGAGUUUCCAUAAGUCGUUCCUUCGACAGCUGCAUUCUGUGGAAGCACACCAGAGGGCGCUACCAGCUGUGUCCAGUGUGUUCCCUACCCACAACAGGAAGGAGAUGAUGUCCAACGAGCCCUGACACAAAAUCCAGCACGGACAACGACUAAAACUGCCCUGCUAGCCGUCUGAUGUCUAGAGCAGGGUCUCUCAACCCCCCUGGGGGGCCUUCGGGAAUGGAGUGAGAAACAAAUCUGUAAAUUGGGGGGGGGAUCUGAAUUGCAUACUCCUUGAGUCCUCUCUCCUCAACCUCGUUCUCAAAACUCAUUGGAGGAGAUGGUCAGAGGGGGAGGGACCUCUGGCUUUCUCAUCCAAUGGGUUUUGAGAAGGAGGCGAGGAGUCUGAAAAGGAUUUUCUCCCGUAGUCUUUCUCUCACUGAACCCUCUCUCUCCUCAACCUCGUUCUCAAAACUCAUUGGAGGAGAUGGUCAGAGGGGGAGGGACCUCUGGCUUUCUCAUCCAAUGGGUUUUGAGAAGGAGGCGAGGAGUCUGAAAAGGAUUUUCUCCCGUAGUCUUUCUCUCACUGAACCCUCUCUCUCCUCAACCUCGUUCUCAAAACUCAUUGGAGGAGAUGGUCAGAGGGGAGGGACCUCUCUCACUGAACCCUCUCUCUCAAUAAUCUCGUUCUCAAAACUCAUUGGAGGAGAUGGUCAGAGGGGAGGGACCUCUCUCACUGAACCCUCUCUCUCCUUAAUCUCGUUCUCAAAACUCAUUGGAGGAGAUGGUCAGAGGGGAGGGACCUCUCUCACUGAACCCUCUCUCUCCUCAACCUCGUUCUCAAAACUCAUUGGAGGAGAUGGUCAGAGGGGAGGGACCUCUCUCACUGAACCCUCUCUCUCCUCAAAGACCAACGCCUCAUCAGAGGGGAGGGACCUCUCUCAAUGAACCCUCUCUCUCCUCAAAGACCAACACCUCAUCAGAGGGGAGGGACCUCUCUCACUGAACCCUCUCUCUCCUCAAAGACCAACACCUCAUCAGAGGGGAGGGACCUCUCUCACUGAACCCUCUCUCUCCUCAAAGACCAACGCCUCAUCAGAGGGGAGGGACCUCUCACUGAACCCUCUCUCUCCUCAAAGACCAACGCCUCAUCAGAGGGGAGGGACCUCUCACUGAACCCUCUCUCCUCAACCUCGUUCUCAAAACUCAUUGGAGGAGAUGGUCAAAGGGGGAGGGACCUCUCUCACUGAACACCAACGCCUCAUCAGACACAGUGACUUACACCUACACCCACCUCUGCGUUCGACUUGCCAUCCAAUGGGAGUGGAGACAGAAGCUGAGGAUAAAUAACUUGUUUUUCUACAUUGAUAUUGGACUCUGUUAAAACAGUAUUAUACUAUAGUAGCCUUAUGUAUGAAGCUUAAUAGAAAUGCCAAUAGUCAAGAAAUCAUUUAAUAUUUUCAUUUCAAUUAACAUAUUCAAAACAAUCAAACGUUCUUUCUUUGUAAAAUACAUUUUGACCAAAUAUCAAGUCAGAUCAAGUCAGUGUGAAAUUGAGUUUAAGGGAGUUAUUUUUUCUGCAGAAAAUGUGGUUAUUGGAAAAAUAGGGUCAAACAUGAUUGCAUACCCUCUAAUUAAGGUGGGUUGGGAGAGACCUUCAUGUGUCUCCUUCACAACUAAGAGUUCCAUUCGUCAACAAACCACUUUCCAUUGCUGAUUCACUUGGCAUCGGCGAUGAACAGACAUGGAUUCAUUUGGCAUGUGAUGGGGUCAUGAUAGGGGCUGCACCAAAUAAUUGAUGUAUUAUAAUAAUUGAUUAUGCUUAUGUUGCAUUAAUAGAAGGGGAGGGGCUAUUGGACCCCACCUCCUCUACAUUUAUAGGAUCCUAGACUACAGAUGAACAAUAUUUAUAUAUUCAUUAUAACAUUUUAAAAUUGUUCCAAAGUCUUUUCAGGGGAGUAGAAGAGAUAAGAGUCAGACAGACCUCUAUAAAUCAACUUGGGGACAUUUAACUGCUAAGGCCUGAGAAAACACUAGAACAAUUGCAUCUCUCUUGCAAGUUUGUUUGGCUGUGUAUGCAUGGGCUUGGUCUGAUGAGUAGCAGGUAAUGACGUAUGCAGUGACAUCACAGGGGGUUGACUACAAGCAUGACAAAAGCAACUUGGACUUUUCCUAUGGGGCAGAACUCAUGAGAGACAUCAGUUGUAUGUGUGAUGUUUGAUCUUUGACUUCUGUCCACAGAUGUAUUUUUGAUUAAAAUUGUUAUGAUUUAUAAGUG